CCAACACUGAAACACACGUCGUCUGAUCUGCUGAACCCGACUUGGUGUCAGUUGUUAUACGUGUUCUUUCUCAACUUGCGUUUCUGUGGGAAUCUGACCAGGGACGUCUUAAAAGAUGUACCUCGUAUGUAAUCCAUCCGAGGGAGUAAUUGGCCUGUGAUCAAGGAAAAAGGAAAAGCACAUGCAGACCACACCUCCCCGGGGAGCCAGGCAAGGCAUUAUGGGUAACGGGUUCAAGUGCGGGGGGUGAGGGUGAGAGCAGGCUCGAGCUCCGGGCUCUCGCCGCCUUUGUUCUCCUUCUUGCUCAAAGCCUGCCAGGUCCCACAACCACAGAGACGGACGGACAGAAGGACGGAGGGAGACACAGAUGAAGUGACGGAGAGAUGGGUGGUGGUAGGAAGACGUGACGAGCACAAGGAGGAGACGAGGACGAAGCAACAGA